UACGUAGGGGGCUAGCGUUGUCCGGAAUCAUUGGGCGUAAAGAGCGUGUAGGCGGUCCGGUAAGUCCGCUGUGAAAGUCGGGGGCUCAACCCUCGAAUGCCGGUGGAUACUGUCGGGCUAGAGUGCGGAAGAGGCGAGUGGAAUUCCUGGUGUAGCGGUGAAAUGCGCAGAUAUCAGGAGGAACACCAGUGGCGAAGGCGGCUCUCUGGACAGACACUGACGCUGAGACGCGAAAGCGUGGGUAGCAAACAGG
rnacentral:rRNA from 1 species